UAGAGCCGGAAAAAAAGGUGAGCCGAAGUUGAAGCCUUUGGACCCGUUUUUCUCUUUUUAAUUUUGUACUCUCCCCGUUCAUUCAUUCCCUUCCUCCUCCUCUUCUCCCCCUUCAUCUGUUUUUUUUUUCUUGUUUGUUCGUUUUUGUUCCUCUCUUCUUCAUCCUCCAGCCGCUACAAAGUUUUGUUUUUUUUUUCCAGAAAGGUAGAAAAUGGCUGACGGUGAAGACAUUCAACCUCUUGUUUGCGACAAUGGAACUGGAAUGGUUAAGGCUGGUUUUGCUGGGGAUGAUGCACCUCGAGCUGUGUUUC